rnacentral:rRNA from 1 species
CGGGGGGAGCAAGCGUUGUUCGGAUUUACUGGGCGUAAAGGGCGCGUAGGCGGCCACCGCAAGUCGACUGUGAAAUCUCCGGGCUUAACCCGGAAAGGUCAGCCGAUACUGCGGGGCUAGAGUGCAGAAGGGGCAACUGGAAUUCUCGGUGUAGCGGUGAAAUGCGUAGAUAUCGAGAGGAACACCUGCGGCGAAGGCGGGUUGCUGGGCUGACACUGACGCUGAGGCGCGAAAGCUAGGGGAGCGAACGGGAUUAGAUACCCCGGUAGUCCUAGCCUUAAACGAUGAAUGCUUGGUGUCCGGGGUUUUAUAGUCCCGGGUGCCGUCGCUAACGCUUUAAGCAUUCCGCCUGGGGAGUACGGUCGCAAGACUG